rnacentral:rRNA from 1 species
AACGUAGGAGACAAACGUUAUCCGGAGUUACUGGGCGUAAAGGGCGUGUAGGUGGUUUCGUAAGUCUGGCGUGAAAUUUUUCGGCUUAACCGGGAAAGGUCGUCGGAUACUGCGGAGCUAGAGGACGGUAGAGGCGUGUGGAAUUCCGGGUGUAGUGGUGAAAUGCGUAGAGAUCCGGAGGAACACCAGUGGCGAAGGCGACACGCUGGGCCGUACCUGGCACUGAUGCGCGACAGCAUGGGGAGCAAACAGG